rnacentral:lncRNA from 1 species
GUUGAGGUAAUUCCCUCUAUCUCUAUUUAUUUAUUUAUUUAUUUGGUCCUGGGGAUUGAACCCAGGGGUGCUUUACCACUGUGCUACAUCUCCAGCCCUUUUUAUUUUUUGUUUUGAGCACAAUCUCACUAAGUUGCUUAGGGCCUUACUAAGUGUCUGAGACUGUCCUUGAACUUGGGAUCCUCCUUAUCCUCCUCACUCAGCCUCCCAACCUGCUAGGGUUACAGGUGUAAGCUACCACACCCUAAUUAUACAUAACAGUGGUAAUCAUUAUAAUAUAUUUGUAAGUGAAUGUAGUCUAAUUGGUCUGUUUCAUUUUCCCAUAACUUCCCCUUUCUCUUCCCUCCUCCUUCCUCAUAUUCCCUACAUCUUCUAUUGGAGUCCCUACUCUUCUAUUGGAGCUCUGUCCCUAAUUUAUAUAGGGUUUUUAACAUGAAAGGCUUUUUCUGCAUCUAAUGAGAUGAACAUUUUCCUUACUUCUAUUUAUGUAAUGAAUUAUGUCUCUGAUUUUGGUAUUAGAGUAAUACUGUCUUUAUAGAAUGGCUUUGGGAGUACCUUCCCACCCCCACUUUCUAUUUUAUGGAACAAUUUGAGGAGCGUUCUUAUUAGUUCUUUGAAGGUCUGACAGAAUUCAGCUGGAAAUUUGUCUGAUCCUGGGCUUUUCUUUGUAUUGGGC